AGAACGAACGCUGGCGGCAUGCCUAAUACAUGCAAGUCGAACGAACACUUCGGUGUUAGUGGCGCACGGGUGCGUAACGCGUGGGAAUCUGCCCUUGGGUUCGGAAUAACAGUUGGAAACGACUGCUAAUACCGGAUGAUAUCGAAAGAUCAAAGAUUUAUCGCCCAGGGAUGAGCCCGCGUAGGAUUAGCUAGUUGGUGAGGUAAAGGCUCACCAAGGCGACGAUCCUUAGCUGGUCUGAGAGGAUGAUCAGCCACACUGGGACUGAGACACCGGCCCAGACUCCGUACGGGAGGCAG
rnacentral:rRNA from 1 species